rnacentral:rRNA from 1 species
GAAUCUACCAAAAGGACUGGGACAACCACUGGAAACGGUGGCUAAUACCCGAUGUGCGCAACGUGAAAGAUUUAUCGCCUGAAGAGGAGCUCGCGUCUGAUUAGCUAGUUGGUGGGGUAAAAGCUCACCAAGGCGACGAUCAGUAGCUGGUCUGAGAGGAUGAUCAGCCACACUGGGACUGAGACACGGCCCAGACUCCUACGGGAGGCAGCAGUGGGGAAUUUUCCGCAAUGGGCGAAAGCCUGACGGAGCAAGACCGCGUGAGGGAGGAAGGCUCUUGGGUUGUAAACCUCUUUUCUCAGGGAAGAACAAAAUGGCGGUACCUGAGGAAUCAGCCUCGGCUAACUCCGUGCCAGCAGCCGCGGUAAUACGGAGGAGGCAAGCGUUAUCCGGAAUUAUUGGGCGUAAAGCGUCCGCAGGUGGCACUUCAAGUCUGUCGUCAAAGACUGGGGCUUAACCCUGGAAAGGCGGUGGAAACUGACAAGCUAGAGUGCCGUAGGGGUAGAGGGAAUUCCCGGUGUAGCGGUGAAAUGCGUAGAGCUCGGGAAGAACAUCGGUGGCGAAAGCGCUCUACUGGACUGCAACUGACACUCAGGGACGAAAGCUAGGGGAGCG